rnacentral:rRNA from 1 species
GUAAUACCGGAUGCUCCGCUCCAUCGCAUGGUGGGGUGGGAAAUGCUUUUGCGGCAUGGGAUGGGGUCGCGUCCUAUCAGCUUGUUGGCGGGGUGAUGGCCCACCAAGGCGUUGACGGGUAGCCGGCCUGAGAGGGUGACCGGCCACAUUGGGACUGAGAUACGGCCCAGACUCCUACGGGAGGCAGCAGUGGGGAAUAUUGCACAAUGGGCGCAAGCCUGAUGCAGCGACGCCGCGUGCGGGAUGGAGGCCUUCGGGUUGUAAACCGCUUUUGUUCAAGGGCAAGGCACGGUUUCGGCCGUGUUGAGUGGAUUGUUCGAAUAAGCACCGGCUAACUACGUGCCAGCAGCCGCGGUAAUACGUAGGGUGCGAGCGUUAUCCGGAUUUAUUGGGCGUAAAGGGCUCGUAGGCGGUUCGUCGCGUCCGGUGUGAAAGUCCAUCGCCUAACGGUGGAUCUGCGCCGGGUACGGGCGGGCUGGAGUGCGGUAGGGGAGACUGGAAUUCCCGGUGUAACGGUGGAAUGUGUAGAUAUCGGAAAAGAACA